GGAUCUGAUUUUUUUUUUUUAAUUUCUAGAGAUGAUGUGUUGUUUAAAUGUUUGAUGUUCUUCCUACAGAUAACACCACUGCAUGCUGGGAAAAUAACCAUAUUUAUGGAUAACACUAUGUGAGAGUAGUGCUCAAAUGAUUAUAGUCAAUUAUUUUGUCAAUAUACAGAAAAUGAACCAACAACAAUUUCAAUAAUUAAUUAAUUGUUUGUUUAUUAAGCAAACUGAAGCAAAUUGAAUUUUUUCGGAGUUUGCAAAACAAGUAAUUUGAUGACAUAAACUUGAGCAAUGUAAAUGCCUGUUUUCUGUCAAUUAGCUGUAAACUGGUAAUAGAUUAGCAGCCCUAUGUCAAACUUUCAAUUUGAAUAUAACUUGAACCAUGUCUGUUAACAUCUGAUCACAUUAUCUACCUGCAGCACAGUCCAAUGAAAACUAUUUAUCUAAAAAUGUCAACUUUUCAUACAUUAAGAAAAAACAGGUUUGUUUCAAGUUUUAAGUGACAGAGCCAAUAUUAGAUAUUUUAUUGGGUUUUUAGAGUUUAUCUUGUUUAACUUAACUUCACAGUGUGCUUCACACUCCUGGCCCUGGAGAGCCCCAGUACUGCAUAUUUCUAUCCCUACCAAGCGCCAACUACCACGUGUUGAAGCUGAAGCCAGCAUGAAUAUACCUUAAAAUGCAAUGCCACCGACAACCACUAGAUGCUGGCUCUAAAACAUCCCUGGCUCCAAAUGACUCCCGAAUCAAUGCAAACCAAUGGGUGACAUCACACCUUGCUAUUUCCAUCUAUAUAUACAGUGUAUGACCUACCAUCCCUACAUCCCCUUAGAUUUUAACUGAACACACCUGAUCCAACUGAUCAGGUGUGGGUAGAGCAGGGAAAGGCAGUGCUAGGACUUGCCUGAUUGGGCAUCACUGGCCUAAGGAAUAUAGGAACAUUUUCUAUACCGAUAAAGACGAGUUUAAGCAUUCACCUAAUCUGGAAAAUUAUCUUAAAAUCACCAAAUAUGGAGAUGCAUGGUUUUCACCACUGGAUAGCAGCAAUUUGCACUGUUAACGCACUAUUAGUUAACUACAGACACAUGCACAGUAAUUAUAAUUAAGCAAGUACAUUGUUAAUUUGGUUAAUUGUAAUUUUACUUGGUUUUAAUUCUAGAGGGUACUCUGCCUGCAAAGUAAGUAGCAUUUUGAGAGACAGCAACAGUCAUGUCACUCUAACUUCCUCUUACUUACGGAAACAUUUAUGUACCUUACACUUGCAAUUGACAUAUCCAACAAUCACUCUGACAUAUCCAACAAUCGUCUGUGAAAGCAUUGACACACACACAGUCCUCCAUCUGUGCCCUGCCUUUGCCAGACAUCUUGUGGCCUGUAGGGCAGCAGCAGGGUGUGGUCUGCCCCCAAGGCACCAGAGGGGUGCCCUCUCGCCUCCAGGCUCUCAGCAAUCCCAGCUGCGCCAUGGAUGGUCCCUGCCCCCGGGUACGGAGAAAGUGUGUCGACUUCCUUUGAUUCAUUUUCACACACUCGGGGCACUAGCCAGCAAAAGUUUUCUUGAUAACCUCUUGCUGACAAACAGAUACAAGCUAACAGGGCCUUCCAGAUACCAUCUGUCCAUGCUUCACUUCACUUCUGCUCUCUGUCACAAUGAAGGCAAGGCAGUCAACAAAAAUACAAAAUGUACUUUGCAGUCAUGUCUCGUUGUAAUAUUUGUAAAAGCAUAUGAAAAAAUUGCUAACAUUUACAGAAUAGUCAAGAAAGAGAACAUCUUCCAUAGUCUAAGGAUUGUUGUUUGAAAUAAUGUGUAUUCUGUAAAUUGCUGCAUGUAUUUUGUACCUCCACUCUUUUUCACAGGCUCGUCUGAAUAGCGGUCUGUUCUCGGCUCAACAGUUUGCCUCACUCUUGGGUUUCUCUCCCACAUAAUGCUCAGUGCACCAGCCAAAGCCUAUAAUCAAGCCUUAGUAAGCAAUUUCCUCAAUGUAUGCACAUUGUGAGAGAAAUGAAUGUUCAAAAUGGAAAGGCUAUCUACAGACUUGAGCUUUUUUCUUUUCUCUUUCUUCUUCCUUUUCUUUUUUGUCCUAUUCCGUUUCACUGUCUGUUUUUUCCUCUUGUUGAAUACAAAGUCAAAAGCGUUCUUAGAAGAGAUGAUAAAGGUACAAAGGAGCUAAAACUUGAGGAUAAGGUAUGCUGAAACAGUGUUAAUUUUGGAAUCUUAAUAAUAGAGUUCUGAACUAAAAUGCUUAUUAGUGUCACUUAUUUUAGUCAUCCUAUCCAAUCUUAUGGCAGUGAGAAAGGACAGCUAAGCUUUUGGCAAUUCAGUCUGCAACAAUAGUCAGAAGUUGCCUUUAUGCUGUUGUGCGUCAUUGUGGUUGUGUUGUGUGGGGGGUUAGUGAGGGAGUCAGAGACAUAAAUUAGAUAUGAUGUACACAAAUUAUUUUUUAUCAAAAGGAUAACUACUUUAUCAUUAUAUUUAAUUAUUAAUAGCAUUCAAUCCUGGUACUGUUACACCAGAAAUAUCAAAUUUAUUAUGUCUUUUGAAGUCACUGAAGUUAUUUAAUUUCUGUUCUAGGUCAUCAUGAUGUAAAAGUGAAACUGUUUACUUUCUUAGCACCACUUCUUUUAAAUAACUGAUAACAUACACAGUUCAUUACUGAUGUCCAACCAAUCUGAAUCGAGUAUUCAACAGAGCUGCUGGAAAAUCAGAGGAGUGCUUAUUCCUGCACGGAGCCUCAGCAGCUGUUGCUAUAGAGACUGCUGCAUGUAACUGUUUCCUUCAAGGUAGCAGAGCCCACAAAGAAGGGAAGAUAUAAUAAAGGAGAGAGAGAAAACAACUUGGGAGAAGGUGUCAGGGAGGCUUGCAAUUAUCACAGUGAACUCUUUUUUUAUGAAGAUUUUGAACCACUCUAAAUCGAGAGGAUUCAUUGCUUUUGCACCAGAUGUGAGAAGCCAUGAAAGCUCAGAAAAUUGUCAGAAAUUUUGUAGUCCAUUUCAAGGAAAGACUGGGAGCUGCAGUAGUGUUGGACUAAAGUAGGGCAGUAUGUGCAACUGGGAGUAAAUGUGUUUUUAGCCUAAACCACUCUGAAGUAUUUGCACUGAAGGUGAAGUGGAAUAGACAGGCAUAUCUAUCAGAAAACACUCAGCCAGAUUCAUAGCCCAAGGCAGCUCAGUUUGAAAUUUCCAAGACCACAAAACCACAAAACACAGGCAUAUUCCUGCUGGCCAUAUGGUCAUUUCUUCGAUGGCAUGUACGGUAAGUACAGAUACAUAAAAUAUAUUUAUUCUCUGUCUUUGAAUCCUCAGAUUAUGAGAUUCAGCUUAUUAUUGUAAGAGUUCACUCCAUUCAGGUUGAUAUUGGUUUGCAACUAUUGUUUCCUUAUUCUGUUGAAUAAGUAUGACUCCAGAUUCUAAGAAUAAACACAUUGCUGCAAAUUCACUGCAUCAAAUCUAGAGAAAAAGGAGGCUGAUUGUGUUUUAUUUAAAGAAAAAAGUGUAGGCUAAUUAAGCUGUUCUUAUUGUUACAUUACUAUUAUUAUUGCUAUUCUUAUAAUUACAGUAUCUCACUACUCAUAUUAGACCCCACUAUCAUCAGCUCUCUGCUUGCAUUGUUGCAGUUUAGCAAGGAGGAUAGAAAAGAGGAAAAAAAUAGAAAAAAAAAGUCCUGUGAAUAUUUUUGAGAGACAAUGUAAAUGCACAAAAGUCAUAUUAUCCAAAGACUUAGCCGCGGUAAGAUUGUAAUAAAAGUUUUUGUAGAAAAAUAUAGAGUGAAGAGUAAGAAAGAGAUCAUAGUCCUGUGAAUCUCCUUAAAAAAGCAAAUUAAAAGUUUUUCUUGAAUUUUGCAGACAUACCAGUGACAGGGAAGAAAGAGGAAAUAGGAUUUUGGGGAGGUUCUUCAGAGGCUCUCCAAUUUCACACUAUCAAAUUAAAGUGUCCAUGUAUCUGAGGAUGGAUGAGUGAUAUUCCUGCUAGGUGCUAGGUGGUCUGCAAUUCCCAUGAAUAAUUUGAGUGUGUCACUGUGGGUGGUCUUUCUAAAGGAGAUUGUGCAGGCAGGGGGCCGGGUAAUGAUGGAUUUACCUGGUUUCCCUUUCAUCCCCCUCUUCACCUUACCAUGGGUUAAAAGAUAAUGUGGAUCUUAAAGCUUUGAGGUGGACUUCGGAUGAAGAGGGACUGCUUGUUCCCUGUGGCUGUUGGAGAGGAACUGAUGGCUGCUGCUACACAACUUCCUGGACAACUUUCAGUAUUUAAUUUCCCAAUUAAAGACAUAAAAGGACCCCUUUGGAUUCCAACUAAAAGAGACUUUUUUUUUUUUUUUUUAAAUUGAAGACAGUUUUGGUUCUACUAGUCCAUGGACACAGAAAGGACUCUUUAAGUUUUAAGGGUAACAUAGUACAUUUCCAGGUUGAACAGGUAAUUGUUAUUGUCCUAUCCUUAAUAUUUGUUCAUUUAGUAGGCAGAUGGUGGUACUUGGGGUCAAGCUAGGAGCACUCAGGUGUUUGUGAGACACUUAAUUUGAUAUUUAAAUUCAUAAUCCAGAUCUAUAAACCUCAUCGUGGAGAAGAAAAUAGCCUUCAAGACAUCUUUGAGACUACAGAGAACUCCCACACAGCUUCACACUAUCACUUGCCGCCAAGGUGGCAGCUAUGGUGACGGGCUAAGAGGGGAGCCUGUCAUUUGAACAGAGAGGCAGGAGGGAGACGACACAGGGAGCAGGGACUCAAGAAAUUAUAAAAGGGAGCCGACAGGAAGGAUAAAAUGAAAUAGGGGCAUGAGAGGCAGCGUUUGCACAUAGACUAGACAGUUACUUACUUAUAUACAUGCAUAUUAUGUGUGCAAAACUGUGUGCAAACCAGUCAGAAGUCCAUCCCACAGAAACCGUGGCUUUCUUUCCUCCACCCUGCUCUGUUUCACUCCCAAGGCUGAGAGUUGAUGUGUGACUGACAGACAGCCACGGACAGCUUGGUUAGACACACCACACUCAGGGGAGGCCACCAGGACUGAACCGAGUAGAGGGGGGUGGAGGAGUAGGAUGAGGGAGAGGAGAUCUGAUGAAAGGAUUUUUUGGUAGUGGAAGGAGAGAGAACAAAAAAAAUCUGAGGGGAUUGAGUCAGGGAAAGCUAAAUACCUUUUGAGAUUAAACACAACGUGUGUUAAAAGGGUAGGCAUUACAAGCUGCAGCUUCAGCCUACACCUUUUUUCAGACUGCAGGAAAAAAACAAAACCUUAAGUUGGGUUAUUGUGCUGUUUUGAGUUACUCUAUUUAACUAUGUCUCUUUUUGUGUGUUUAUGUGUGUAUAAAAAAUGAAUUUGUAUAUGCAGACCAGAAAAAAACAAAAAAUUAAAAAAUGAAUUUGUAUAUGCAGAUCAGAAAAAAACAAAAUGAAAAAUGAAUUCUAGAGUGCUAAAUACUAGGCUAUGUGUGAAAGAGAGACACAAUGAAGCAAACACACACACACACACACAAAAUGACAAAUUCCACACAAAUUUGUCAUUUCUCUUUUAUUCCCUGCUAACUAGGUUUAAACACACCACACUCAUAUUCCAUCAAGGUUAUAUUCUGAUCUCUUCUCUGGGAUAAACAUUGAUUCAAAAGUCAGGCAGGGAUACAACGGUGCAGAAAUGAAUUUACCGGAGGACGUAGCCUUGAUACACUAUGUGUCCUAUCUAAGUAAUUAAGACUCAGUUCAACAUCGGUCAGGAGACUAUUCAACACUCUUAACAGUAAGAAUGCCUUCCUUUAGAAAUAAUCAAUAAUUCAAAACAACCAACAUGCAGGUAUGAAAAGGCUGCUAUUUGAUUCUUAGACGUGUUUUUGUACAGGUGUGUAGGAGGAUUUUUUUGUGUUCAGGGCUGAGUAUUGAACUUUUGUGUCCGUUGAAACAAAAACAUGCAAGCAUUAAAAGUUGGUAUUGAAUGCUGAACCAAAUUCUUAACCAUGUGAAUAUAAUCAGAAAUGUGCAGGUUUACUUGAAUCAGGAAACUUUUAGACUGAAUAUCAUCGCCGCUUGUGUUAAGACAACAUUAAAAGAAUAGUUUUUGGACAUCUUGGGAAGUAUGUUUACUUACUUUCUUCCCAAGAGUUAGAUGAAUAUUGAUACCACACUUGUGUCGGGACAUUUAGUACAGAGCUAGAGUUGAACUUAGCACAUGAACUGGAACAAAAGGGGAAAAAACCUAGCCUUGCUCUGUCCAAGAAAUAGAGCAUGUAACUCCCCGUAAAACUGUAACUUGUUGUUUUUACAUCUCAGUAUUUGUACGGAUUAAACAAAUGUCAAACAUUAGAGAGCUUUGGAGGUGUUAGCCAGGCUAGUGUUUCCCCCUUGCUUCCAGUCUUUACGCUAAGGUGAAGUAACUGAUUCCCAGCUCUAUAGCUCCACAUUUUGGGAUUGUUGUGUUUCUCUUUCUUACCCAGAGUUGUAUGAGAAGCUCGAUACUGCUCUCAUUUUUGUCUGGUAAAUAUGAAGCCCAGCCAGCAGCUGCUCAGCUUUGCUUACAACGGGAGGCUACAGCUAGCAUGGCUCGGUCUGAAGCUAACAUAAAUAGAUGUGUUAAAUUUUGUGUAUUAAUACACUGAUAAAAAGCUGCAGGUGACAGGCUGCACACCUCCAUCUCCUCAGUGAAAUAACCACCUCUGUCCGGCCGCUGGGUGGAGAGCAUGCACAGCAGGAAAUCAGAUUGCAGUUACUCAUGGCAUGAUGGAAAAAGGUUGAUUAUUGACUGAACUUUUUUUUUUGUUAUUGGUACUGAAACUUAAGUAUUGCAUUGGCACUGAUGUUGAUACCCACCAUUAUGUGUACUGUGUUUGGGAUGUGGUUGUGUAUCUGAACUGAGGACAUUUACAGCACCUGUUGAACGUUGAAUCUCUGCUGAAAGAUAAUCCUGACAUGUUAUGUUUCCCCUGUAUUCCUGUACAUCAACAUUCACCAAACCUUUGCAUCUGGUCUUUAUUUAACCAUAUACAUAAUUUUGAUUUGUACCUCCACAUAUCGCUCUAUCUGAAUGAUAGCAUUUCUAGCAUCUACUCUUCUUGAGAUGCCUGAGCUGUAAAUCACCUUAAGAAAUGUGCCAUCUUUACAGCCAGGGACAGACCUUGGCCUCUAAUCACCUUUCUUCUCCUUUUUCCUUGCUCUCCUUCAUCUCCUUAUCAAAGACCCAGCCUUUUAAUCCAGCAUGGCUCUAUGGUCACAUUCACUCAUGAGUGUCCUGGAAAUCCACCAUCUCCUCUUCAAAUUCAUGCAAAUCACAACAUCUAAGAGCAGCAGAGCUUCCUCUGAGACAGAAUUAUGCACAUGUGGGGA